UGGGGAAUAUUGCACAAUGGGGGAAAACCUGAUGCAGCGACGCCGCGUGAGCGAAGAAGGCCUUCGGGUCGUAAAGCUCUUUUAUGAGGGAAGAUAAGGACGGUACCUCAAGAAAAAGCCGCGGCUAACUACGUGCCAGCAGCCGCGGUAAUACGUAGGGGGCUAGCGUUGUCCGGAAUCACUGGGCGUAAAGGGUUCGCAGGCGGAAUAACAAGUCAGAUGUGAAAGGCAUGGGCUCAACCCAUGUAAGCAUUUGAAACUGUAAUUCUUGAGAAGUGGAGAGGUAAGUGGGAUUCCUGGGGUAGCGGUGAAAUGCGUAGAUAUUAGGAGGAAUACCGGUGGCGGAGGCGACUUACUGGACACAAAUCUGACGCUGAGGAACGAAAGCGUGGGUAGCAAACAGG
rnacentral:rRNA from 1 species